UUUCCUAACUUGAUGAAUGGUUUCCCUCACAAUUUAUAGACAAUUCUUUAUAGCAUUGUCUCGGUUACACUCAAUUGAUUCAAAAAAAAAAUUACAAUUCAUUUGUGGUCUACAACAAAAGAGUACUAAAAGACAUAUAGUGGACUGCUUUAUUGUCCACUCAAACGAUUCCCUGAGUCAGAAAAUAGUUGAGUCCAACGCAUCCCUGACUCAGCAUUGCUGUUUGCAUACGCUUCCCAAAUAUUCCCUGAAACAUCAUACAUGAAAUAGCCAUUCAGACAUAAAUAUACAUGUGCAAAUUGGAAGCGGGUUGAGUGCUGAAGACAGGGAGUUGCUCCACUGAGGGAAAGCCAUCAUUGUAAGGUGGCUCUUGUUGACUAUUAAGUAGGUCAACAAAGUUAGCCGGUUGCGAAAAUGGAUAUGAAUCCAUUUUAAAGAGUUUAGAGUAUACAAAAGAGGCUGAUAAAGAGGCUUGGAACAGAGAUGAAAGAGGCUGAAAGAGGCUGAAAGAGGAUGAAAGAGGCGAAAAUGGAUAGGAACAGAGAUGAAAGAGGCUGAAUGAGUGAAAGAGACUUGGAAGAGAGAUGGAAGAGGCUACCAAAGAGGCUGAUAAAUAGGGUUUAGAAGUGGUGAGUUAAUGACAACAGUAAAGGAAAUUAAAACUAAAUCACCUACCAAAAUAUCACUCAAGUUCGACAUGACACAAACCUAAAAGGCAAUGAACACCAUUAUAUGACUUUAAUUCCAAAAUCUAAUCAGCAUUUAUGACAACCUAAUAGCCAAACCCAUUUCUUUCCAAUCACUAAUGACAACAACCAGAAGAGUAAACUAAAUUCAAACUUACCGUUACAAAUGAAGUCGGAGAAGAGUAUCUUGUUUAUCCACCUUCCAGUUACCCGAACCAAUAGUAUCACACGGUCACCUGAUAUGAAACCAAAAAAAAAGUGUGAGCGACUAUUAUAGAACAGCAAAUAUAGAAGAUAAAGAGAAGAUAAAGAGAACAACAACUUACCUCCUUCAGUAAUCCCAAAACAUGGCUAGGAUCCUCUCAUUCGAACUCAUAGCCUACACUUUGAUAUAAGAGACAAACGAAACAUAGAUUUCCAAA
rnacentral:lncRNA from 1 species